CUGCUGUUCGAGUUUUUCACAUAAUUUAGUUACAAAAAUUAGCUGAGAAAGAUGUCAGCUGUCCAGGACCUCGUGGCGCAACGGUAGCGCGUCUGACUCCAGAUCAGAAGGUUGCGUGUUCAAAUCACGUCGGGGUCAGAUUUCAUUCAACUUUUACUCUGCUGUUCGAGUUUUUCACAUAAUUUAGUUACAAAAAUUAGCUGAGAAAGAUGUCAGCUGUCCAGGACCUCGUGGCGCAACGGUAGCGCGUCUGACUCCAGAUCAGAAGGUUGCAUGUUCAAAUCACGUUGGGGUCAGAUUUCAUUCAACUUUUACUCUGAUGUUCGAGUUUUUCACAUAAUUUAGUUACAAAAAUUAGCUGAGAAAGAUGUCAGCUGUCCAGGACCUCGUGGCGCAACGGUAGCGCGUCUGACUCCAGAUCAGAAGGUUGAGUGUUCAAAUCACAUCGGGGUCAGAUUUAUUCCCACAUUUUCUCUGCUGUUCAAGUUUAUAAAAAAAUUAGCUGAGCACAGAAUCAGAUAACCAGGACCUCGUGGCGCAACGGUAGCGCGUCUGACUCCAGAUCAGAAGGUUGCGUGUUCAAAUCACGUCGGGGUCAGACUUCUUCCCACAUUUACUCUGCUGUUCGAUUUUAUAAAAAAAAAAUUAGCUGAGCACAGAGUCAGAUAACCAGGACCUCGUGGCGCAACGGUAGCGCGUCUGACUCCAGAUCAGAAGGUUGCGUGUUCAAAUCACGUUGGGGUCAGAUUUCAUUCAACUUUUACUCUGAUGUUCGAGUUCAUGACACAAUCUAGUUGAAAAAAUUAGCUGAGCAAAAUAUUGCAUAACCAGGACUCCAGAUCAGAAGGUUGCGUGUUCAAAUCACGUCGGGGUCAGACUUCUUCCCACAUUUACUCUGCUGUUCAAGUUUAUGAAAAAAUUAGCUGAGCACAGAAUCAGAUAACCAGGACCUCGUGGCGCAACGGUAGCGCGUCUGACUCCAGAUCAGAAGGUUGCGUGUUCAAAUCACGUCGGGGUCAGAUUUCAUUCUACUUUUACUCUGCUGUUCGAGUUUUUCACAUAAUUUAGUUACAAAAAUUAGCUGAGAAAGACGUCAGCUGUCCAGGACCUCGUGGCGCAACGGUAGCGCGUCUGACUCCAAAUCAGAAGGUUGCGUGUUCAAAUCACGUCGGGGUCAGACUUCUUCCCACAUUUACUCUGCUGUUCAAGUUUAUGAAAAAAUUAGCUGAGCACAGAAUCAGAUAACCAGGACCUCGUGGCGCAACGGUAGCGUGUCUGACUCCAGAUCAGAUGGUUGCGUGUUCAAAUCACGUUGGGGUCAGAUUUCAUUCAACUUUUACUCUGCUGUUCGAGUUCUUUACGCAAUCUAGUUACAGAAAUUAGCUGAGAAAGACAUCAGCUGUCCAGGACUUUGUGGCGCAACGGUAGCGCGUCUGACUCCAGAUCAGAAGGUUGCGUGUUCAAAUCUCGUCGGUGUCAAACAUUAGCAUCUUUGUGUAAGAGAUUUUUGUGAAAAUCAGAAAUGCUUUUAGCUAGAACAAGUUCAGCAGCUAAUAGAGGACCUUGUGGUGCAACGGUAGCGCGUCUGACUCCAGAUCAGAAGGUUGCGUGUUCAAAUCACGUCGGGGUCAGAUUUCAUUCUACUUUUUACUCUGCUGUUCAAGUUUAUGAAAAAAUUAGCUGAGCACAGAAUCAGAAACCAGGAACUCGUGGCGCAACGGUAGCGUGUCUGACUCCAGAUCAGAUGGUUGCGUGUUCAAAUCACGUCGGGGUCAGAUUUCAUUCUACUUUUACUCUGCUGUUCGAGUUUUUCACAUAAUUUAGUUACAAAAAUUAGCUGAGAAAGAUGUCAGCUGUCCAGGACCUCGUGGCGCAACGGUAGCGCGUCUGACUCCAGAUCAGAAGGUUGCGUGUUCAAAUCACGUCGGGGUCAGACUUCUUCCCACAUUUACUCUGCUGUUCAAGUUUAU